AGGUGCGAUCAUACCAGCACUAAUGCAUUGGAUCCCACCAGAACUCCGCAGUGAAGCGUGCUUGGGCGAGAGUAGUACUAGGAUGGGUGACCUCGUGGGAAGUCCUCGUGUUGCACCUC
rnacentral:rRNA from 2 species